AAAAAGUUGGUGGUGAAAUCCCAGAGCUUAACUCUGGAACUGCCAUCAAAACUUUUCAGCUAGAGUAUGAUAGAGGAAAGCAGAAUUUCUAGUGUAGAGGUGAAAUUCGUAGAUAUUAGAAAGAAUACCAAUUGCGAAGGCAGCUUUCUGGAUCAUUACUGACACUGAGGAACGAAAGCAUGGGUAGCGAAGAGGAUUAGAUACCCUCGUAGUCCAUGCCGUAAACGAUGUGUGCUAGACGUUGGAAAUUUAUUUUCAGUGUCGCAGCGAAAGCGAUAAACACACCGCCUGGGGAGUACGACCGCAAGGUUAAAACUCAAAUGAAUUGACGGGGACCCGCACAAGUAGUGGAGCAUGUGGUUUAAUUCGAUGAUACGCGAGGAACCUUACCAGGUCUUAAAUGCAUAACGAACGAUUGGGAAACCAAUCUUUCUUCGGACGGAAUGCAAGGUGCUGCAUGGCU
rnacentral:rRNA from 1 species